GAAAAUUUAGUUUAAACUAAAACAUUAACUUGUCAAGUUAAAAAUAUUGUUAAAUAAUUUUCU
rnacentral:tRNA from 1 species